rnacentral:rRNA from 1 species
GGCGAACGCUGACGGCGUGCUUAACACAUGCAAGUCGAACGGAAAGGCCCUGCUUUUGUGGGGUGCUCGAGUGGCGAACGGGUGAGUAACACGUGAGUAACCUGCCCUUGACUUUGGGAUAACUUCAGGAAACUGGGGCUAAUACCGGAUAGGAGCUCCUGCUGCAUGGUGGGGGUUGGAAAGUUUCGGCGGUUGGGGAUGGACUCGCGGCUUAUCAGCUUGUUGGUGGGGUAGUGGCUUACCAAGGCUUUGACGGGUAGCCGGCCUGAGAGGGUGACCGGCCACAUUGGGACUGAGAUACGGCCCAGACUCCUACGGGAGGCAGCAGUGGGGAAUAUUGCACAAUGGGCGGAAGCCUGAUGCAGCAACGCCGCGUGCGGGAUGACGGCCUUCGGGUUGUAAACCGCUUUCGCCUGUGACGAAGCGUGAGUGACGGUAAUGGGUAAAGAAGCACCGGCUAACUACGUG